rnacentral:rRNA from 1 species
UACGUAGGGUGCAAGCGUUAAUCGGAAUUACUGGGCGUAAAGCGUGCGCAGGCGGUUUUGUAAGUUUGUCGUGAAAUCCCCGGGCUCAACCUGGGAAUGGCGAUGAAGACUGCAAGGCUAGAAUCUGGCAGAGGGGGGUAGAAUUCCACGUGUAGCAGUGAAAAUGCGUAGAGAUGUGGAGGAAUACCGAUGGCGAAGGCAGCCCCCUGGG